GACUAAGUCACUGGCAGGCUGGAGCAAAAUUCAUCCAUAUAGGGGGUGUGUUUUGGUUUGGUUGUUUUAGUGAAGCCUGAAGUAACACCCAGCAAACCACUCUCACAGGGACCACCACAAGAAGGUCCCAGAGAGAAGAUAGGAAGGGUGGAGUAUGGCUUUGAUGGCAACCGCAUCUGUUACAAGAGCAGGAGAAUGACAGUAUGAAGUAUCAUUACCAAAGAGACAGCCUUUCUGAAAGGAACAAACGGGCCGGCUCCAGGCACCAGCCCAGCAAGCAGCUGCUUGGGGCGGCCAACGGUGAGGGGUGG